CAUUUUUUUUAUAUCAAACGUUUGACCGUCCGUCUUAUUUAAAAAAAUUUAUGAUUAGUAUUUUUUUUGGUUGUUAUUAGAUUAUAAAACAUGAAUAAUACUUUAUGUGUGACUAUUCUUUUUUGAAAAAAUAUAAUUUUUCAGAUAAGACAUACGGUUAAAAGUUGAAUUCGGAAUCUCACAACUGCACUGAGA
rfam:Oryza rufipogon genomic scaffold, chr05